rnacentral:rRNA from 1 species
ACAUAGCCUCAACUCAUGUGAGACUACCCCCUGAAUUUAAGCAUAUCAAUAAGCGGAGGA